rnacentral:miRNA from 1 species
AAAAGUUCUUUCAGGUUUUUCU